CUUCAGGGAGCCCAGCCACAGGGGCUGUUCGGAGCCGUGCUCCUGGCCGUAGGUGGCGAGCAGGGCCUGCGCCUC
rnacentral:antisense_RNA from 1 species